UUUUUUUAUUUUAUAAUUAUAUUUAUUAUUAAAUAAUUUUAAUAUUUUAAAAUAUGUUAGUGUUUUUAAUGAUGAUAAUAAAGCGAUGUGGAUGGAACAGUGACAGAAUGCAUAGGUAGGGGAAACUGGAGCAUAGCAAGAAAAUCUACUGGCUCUCAGCAACGUAUGACACGUUUCCUUUUAGAAAAAAAUUCCAGUUGUUGUUACUAUUGUAUUUUAUAUUUAAUAACCGAAUCUAAUGUGAAAUAUGGCAUCUGUGCAUUUUAAAACCCCUGAUAGCGCUAUGAAACAAAACAAUAUUUUAUAUGAAAAAAUAUAACAAAAAUACAAAAUUGAACAAAUGGAAAUUAACACCAACUGAUAAAAUUUAAAACCUAACAAGACACUGUUGCUCCCUUUGAUUGAAACUACGUAUUAUAGUUUUCUGGUCAUUACUUAAUAGUCUAGAAAUAAACUGGUCUUCUGCUUUAUUUAUUAUUGUUCUUUUCUUUAUUAUUACUGCUUUAUCAGCAUCGGCACCAGAGUGCACUGAAGCUUAUUGUCCUUGCGUUUUAUAUAUAGACACACACACACCUUUAGCAUAUUUUUAAUAUUUAGCUGGUUUUAAUAGUUUGAUUAGAAAAACUUGUUAUCUAGGUAUAAAUAUUUUUAAAUCAUUAACAGUGUUUUAGAGUUUUUUUUUCUAUAACAGAUAGGUAACAUAACACUUGUUGUCUGGGGGGGAUAGGCGUAAUAGGCGACAGUUACGUUACUCGGAAUAAAGGGCACCACUACGUGAUUGAGGAACGUGGACCCGGCUCGAGACUCUACCCCUGGGUCGUGAUGUGGCCUGUGUGGAAGCAGGGCUCGAUCCCCCUAUAAGCUGUUGAACUAGUGGACUCUCUAGGCAUCCCACAUGUCUCGAAGUCUAAGCUGGCAGACACAUGGUUGUACGGACAAAUACUCACCAGUCGGUACAUUGUGGAUUAAUAGUUACACAAAAAAGAAAGAUAGAGAGUUGUUACAUAUUAUACUGUAAAAACGCCAAUGGAAAAAUAAUCAGUUUAUAUGCUGACCAAGAUGCCUCGUGGCCUGGCCUCGAAAGCAAGUUCAGUAGUUUAGUUUCAAAUGCUCGGUAUGAACUUAGAUAUUUGUGCUCAACAGUCUACCACCCAGAGUAGACCUCAAAGAAAAAGAUAAAAGGUUUAAAAAUAUUUAAUGCUUGGCAGAUGCCAUCAGUUCAGUUAAGAAAAAGUUGAAGUUGACGAGGUGCGUGAAGAGCGUCCUAACCCGGGCGGCGAACAGAAUAGACUAAUCGAGGCCAGGGUGUCAAGGCUUCAGUGUGUUGGAUACAAUUAUGACUGGAGAACUUGGCGCUAAUGCACACCAUGGUGCCAACCAGCACUUGCUUCCACCCGCCAUCACAAUUAGAAGUGUCAUGCAGUGCUGUUGUUCCCUUCACCAGAAGUUUGACUGCUAGUGACCCAGGGCUCUCAGCGAAGCCAGUCUCGCAAGCAUGUGUUUGAGUUGUAUUUUAGUGUGUGCUACUCUCACAGAAAACAAGAAAAUUAAACCACGUGGCGUACUAGCUUCCUCUACAAUAAGAACGCAAGCAAGAGCUGUUGGUGGCGCUGCGGUCACAGGUGUGACGUCACGCGAGCCAGUCGCAGCUGAAGUGUGUGUCGCCCGCCAUGGAGAGUGCAAGCCGAGGGCUCACAUGGGCUGGAUGCAUGUGGACAGCUCCACGUAUAAAUGGAUUGGCAUGAAAAAAUAUGCUGCUCUGCUCAAGGACAUCAUCAUCAAGAAUGUGAUGACCUUCGCACUGUCUAGUGCUUUUCACGUCACUACAAGGAACUUACAAGGCAUAAGGUGAAAGCACGCUGCUACGACAUUUUUCUGUGUUGAAGUACAAUUCUAACUUUAACUUUUACAUCCGUGGUUACUCUACCUUGAAGUGACUUUGCCAAGUCAGUUUGAAUGAAAUUCUAGCAAUAAGUUAACCAUCUUGGAUUUCAUACUCAACGACAGUGGCGGAUUUACCAGCAGACUGAGUAGGCUUGAGCCUAGGGCGGCAUAUUUGGGGACAGAUUUUUUUUUUUUUUUUUUUUUGCUACCUCAUAGAAAUCAAAAAGAUUCCUGCAUGACGGUUUUCUGUUUUCUGAUGUUUUACAGAUAGAAGUCUGCAACAAAUUUUGCCGAUGACUUUCUCCUCUCCCUUGUCAUUGUACGUUCCGUGAAUCCGUGUAGCAAACUUCCAUAUUCUAGAGUAAAACAGCUAGUUCGCCGCCCCCCAACCAGUAAUCGGCCUCUGCGCCCUCUGCCGACACUUUGAAUGAGUGAAAAGAGUGAAAUUAUAUAAAAUGUAUUUCUCUCUUCCCACUAUCAACCCAUACAUACCAGCCCUACUACUGGUUGGAGUCUGUGAACUGGAUGGUUUGUAUAUAAUGAACAAGAUUACUUACGACGAUAUCAUAGAUGAUUUUGCCAACAAAAAAUUGUGCAUAAAGGUAUUGUAACAAACUUUUAUAACUUGACUGAGUUGAUUAUUUUUAACUGUUUGUAAGCGCAAUAAAGAUUAUUUAUUCAUGUUUACCUAAAGUACAUUAUUGUGUAAGUAGCAUGCCCUACCCCGCCUUAUUAAUCGUACAUGAUUGAGCUUUGAUUAGCUCAAAAAUAUACCCAAAAAUUAUUUUAGUGCAAUUUCAACGAAAUUGUUGGAUUGUAAAAAUAAUCUAGGACAUGAAAAUUGUAGAGGCAAGGGCGGCAAAAACUUUACAGCCUAUACCUUGAAAAUUUGUAAAUCCGCCACUGCUCAACGACCAGUUAUGUUUCUUGGCUGACUUGCAUUUUUAAAAUUUAGUUUUUGAAAAGCAUAAAUAGUUUACAGAUUUAAUCUAGCUGUGACUGAUUAAUGUACUAAAUCAUUUAAUUAAGAUUUUAAGAAAGUUAAAAAUGGGAAAACGCAAGGUUAGUGUACCGACAUUAUCAUGGGCACAAGGUGUGAUGUCACUGCCAGUGACAGCCCUCUUCGACAGCGAAGCUCAUUAAUGCGUCUGACUUUGGUCUCUGUGUAAUAUUAUUUGAAUUUUGGCUUGAAACUCAACUCUAACGUUUUCAUCAAGUUGCUAAUAUCCCACUCCAGCAGGAGAUUUUAUAGGAACUGUUAUUUUAAGACUAAUUUUCUUAAAUGUCCAUUAACUUUAUAGUAUUGCAGAUUGCUAUGCAGAAAAUGUUAAAUGGUAAUGUACAUAAUUUUUUAUAUUUAAUGCUAGAAUUUUUAGGUGUAUAUUUUAGUUCUAUUUUAUGCCUAAGUCUUUUGGCCCAUCAUUAGGUACACAAAAAAUUUUAUACUGUUUAGGAAAGGCCUACUUUUGGUGACCUUUGUUUUAGACUCAAUAGAAAAGUAGUUAUGAGAUAUUUUACUUAUUUUAAUACGAAUAUAUUUUAGCAUUUUUUUUAUUUCUUGUGGUCAUUGGUAACUUCAAUUCUGAUUAAUUAUCAGAGUUUAAACAACUUUAGUCCACACUAUGUUAAUAACUGUAAAUGAAAAUAUAUAAAGGUAAAAUUAUUUUCAA